rnacentral:rRNA from 1 species
UACGUAGGGGGCAAGCGUUGUCCGGAUUUAUUGGGCGUAAAGAGCGUGUAGGCGGCCAGGUAGGUCCGUUGUGAAAACUCGAGGCUCAACCUCGAGACGUCGAUGGAAACCAUCUGGCUAGAGUCCGGAAGAGGAGAGUGGAAUUCCUGGUGUAGCGGUGAAAUGCGCAGAUAUCAGGAAGAACACCCGUGGCGAAGGCGGCUCUCUGGGACGGUACUGACGCUGAGGAGCGAAAGCGUGGGGAGCAAACAGG